UGAAGCUGGAAUCGCUAGUAAUCGCGAAUCAGAAUGUCGCGGUGAAUACGUUCCCGGGUCUUGUACACACCGCCCGUCACACCAUGGGAGUCGGAAAUGCCCGAAGUCAGUGACCCAACCGUAAGGAGGGAGCAGCCGAAGGCAGGUCGGAUGACUGGGGUGAAGUCGUAACAAGGUAGC
rnacentral:rRNA from 1 species